rnacentral:sRNA from 1 species
CGUGCCCAGCACCAAGAACCCGUAGGUGGUCCGCGGCGGCGCGGGGAGGCCCAGGGCAAUUAGGACAGCCCCUCCGCUGGACUCCGCCAGUGCUGCAGCCCCUACUCCUUCAGAGUUGGGAGCCCUGGGACCCAGGCACCAGUUGUUCUGCAAACUCACCCUGCGGCACAUCAACAAGUGCCCAGAACACGUGCUGAGGCACACCCAGGGCCGGCGGUACCAGCGAGCUCUGUGUAAAUAUGAAGAAUGUCAGAAGCAAGGGGUGGAGUACGUGCCUGCCUGCCUGGUGCACCGGAGGAGGAGGAGGAGGGAGGACC